UACGUAGACAGCAAGCGUUGUUCGGAAUUACUGGGCGUAAAGAGUGUGUAGGCGGUGCUCUAAGUUUGGUGUGAAAUCUCCCGGCUUAACUGGGAGGGUGCGCCGAAAACUGGAAUGCUUGAACAUGGGAGAGGAAAGCGGAAUUCCUGGUGUAGCGGUGAAAUGCGUAGAUAUCAGGAGGAACACCUGCGGUGUAGACGGCUUUCUGGACCAUUGUUGACGCUGAGACACGAAAGCGUGGGUAGCAAACAGG
rnacentral:rRNA from 1 species